rnacentral:misc_RNA from 1 species
GAUGAAGAACGUAGCGAAAUGCGAUACGUAAUGUGAAUUGCAGAAUUCAGUGAAUCAUCGAGUCUUUGAACGCACAUUGCGCCCCCUGGUAUUCCGGGGGGCAUGCCUGUCCGAGCGUCAUUAUAACCCCUCAAGCUUAGCUUGGUGUUGGGGCUUGCUGUAAUAGAGCAGCCCUUAAAAUCAGUGGCGGUGCCAUUAGGCUCUAAGCGUAGUAAUUCUUCUCGCUAUAGGGUUCUGGUGGAUGCUUGCCAUUAACCUCUAAUUUUCUAUGGUUGACCUCGGAUCAGGUAGGGAUACCCGCUGAACUUAAGCAUAUCAAUAAGCGGAGGA